UGAUUUGUAGCAGUGCUAUGCGGUCUGUCUCAUUAUUUCGAGCACUGGAGAAUUGGAGACAAUGAAACAGUAUAUUAGCACAAAUGAGCAAGUAAAAAAAAGAACACAACAUGACUUAGUUUUUGAAGAAAAAAAGGCACAUUAGGUAUCUUAUUUAUGAGCUAACAUAGGGGAAUGGAUGCUCAUAUGGGUUUCCUGAGACCCUAUUUAUAAUACUUGAUCAGAGCAACAAUAAGCAGUGGUAGGGACUAGGGACAUGAAAAUUUUGUGGAGAGGCCUUGCCUGUUGACAAAAUUUCAUUGAAUACUGUUAUUAAGGAAGCAAGAAAGAUUAUAAAGAACGUCAAUAAAGAACACAGAGAUUUAACGUGGUUUACUAAUAAUGUGUAAAUGUGUUAGCUACGUCCACAGGCAGAGGAGGGGGUAAGUUUUAUGAUCUUGAGGAGUAUAGAUUACAGAAUAGAACUAGGUUAUGACUUCAUUGAAUACCGAUUCAAGGCAUAUUCUAACAAAUAUUGGUCUAGCAAAUGCCAAAGUUAAAUGUAGCAUGUUCAUUAAAGAAAACCAAUCAAAUUAUUUUCGAGUUUAGUGUUCGGAACUAAUAAUGCAAUUACUUUCUCCAUUAUUUUUCUGUAAAAUAUGCAGAUACUGGGUGUUUGAUGGUUUCCUCUUUUUACACUAGGGUAAGCAAAACAUCUUAUAUACAGGGCUGGUGACAAGAAAAUCAGAAUGUCAUCAAAUAGUAUUAGGAUGAACUCGUGUUAAAAGUUUCAAGUUUUCAACCAAUUACUUAAUUAGUGGCCUUUUGAUAGUUUGAUCAACUUCAAAACUUUAAACAACUCAAAAUCGGUUGAGCAAUAAUAAUUGCUACAAGUUCAUAUAUGACUAAUUCAAAUGGCCUGGUCAUGACUUAUUCAAAAUUCUUUGAAGUCAGUUCACAGAUGAUAAAUUAUCAAGAUAAGGAACAACUCACCAUUAAAUUUUGGGAGCAGUUGGGACAUGAGUGCCUUUCUUGUACAGUUUUAAUACGCAGACAGUUACUAGCUCUGAAAUUUGACUUGGUAAAUGUAUGUAUUAAUUGAUCCUUAUACUGCUUUAUAAUUGGUAAAUUGAUGUUUGGUUCUGUUAAACUUCAGACCCCUACUUUGAUGUUAUCUUCAGACCCCUACUGGAAAUAUUUACAGGAUGGAAGCCUACUGACGACAUGUUUAAAGUAAGCCAGAAUCUUCAUCACCUUGUAAAAGAAGCCCUACCUGAUCAGGUGACAGAGAUUUUAGAUCAAGCUAUUCUUGACGACUUAACAGGAGAUGAGAAAAUCAGGUGUAGUACGUUGGAGGCUUUGAUUACUGUACUUGGAAUUGCACUUUCUUGCUCUGCUGAUCUCCCACGAGAAAAGUUGGACAUGAGUGACGUAAAGUAGACCUCAGUCGGGUCGGGUUGUAAAAAUUAUUUUCGAGUUCGGGUUGAAUCGGUCGGUCACUUUUGGGCUCUAGUUUACAAAUGCUUGUUCAAGACCCAGAACUUUCGGGUUCGGGUCGACCCAUCGGGUUGAGAUAUUUUAAAAUGUGCACUAUAUUUUCAUUGAUUUAGAUGAUUAAAUAUACGGAGUGGAGUACAAAAUAUGGGCACAAAUUAACAAAUUUUCUUACACAAGUUUAUAUGUAGUCAAAUUCAACCAUAAAAUGGGGUAUAAUUCAAAUUAAAAUCAUAUUACACACAACAAUAGUAAAAACGUGUUUAUUAUGUUACGGGUCAUAAAAUCGUAUUCAGGACCCAAUAUUUUCGGGUCGGUUUUUCGGUUCGGGUCGGUUUUUUACAGUUCUACUACAAAACUUUCUUCAAUUAGAAACAAGCUUUGUGGGAGCUGAUUAUAAACUUCUUGAAACUAGCAAAUCAUAGCGAGGGAGGAAAUGUCCAGCAGGUACCACUAUUGCCUUGUUCUGAAUCUGGACAUUGGUUUUUCUUGUCGAGCAUCGGAUGCAGAAUAUGGAAUUGCAAAUGAGGUGACCACGAAAGGUGAUGUGUAUAGUUUUUGGCAUUCUUUUGCUCGAAAUCUUUACAGGAAAGAGGCCUACUGAUGACAUGUUUGAAGGGGAACUAAGCCUUCGUAAAUUUGUCGAAGAAGCAAUGGAAGACCAAGUGAGAGAGAUUUUAAACCCCGAUCUUCAUCAGGACAUGAUUGAUCUUGAAUAUAAUGCAAGGCGUGCACGUAAUACCAGAAUCAGUACAAAUAUUGAUGAGAUUUUGCAGUGCAUAAUUUCCAUAUUUAGUGUUGAUUGUCUUGUUCUGUUGAGCUUCCUAUGGAAAGGUUGGAUAUCAGAGAUGCAGUAAGGCAGCUAGUUUCAAUUAGAAACAGGCUGCAAGCCUGCAACUAAGGUGGUUAAUGAGUUUAUGAUAGACCUGAUCAAAUGGCGGGUCAACCCGGGCCGAGACAUAAAAAUCAGUCCGUUAUGUCGGGCCGGGUCAAGAUUCGGGCCAAAAAUUUGUGCCCAAACCUACUAUUUUCGGGCCGGGUCAAAUUUAUAACUAAAGGUGUAGUUUUAUGUUUUCCAAACCCGCCCAAAAAACAAAAAAACAAGGCGGGGGCCAGGCUCGAAAACUCUGCCCAAUUCCACAAAAAAUCGGGCCGGGCCGGGCUCAUCUUGAUCAGGUCAAGUUUAUGACAAACCAAUCAGAGUGGAAAGUACGGACAAGAUUAACAUUGAUUAUUUCUGGGUGCCAUGUAAUUUUGUGAUGUACGGAGACCCUCAAAGACGGUGAUAUUGACGGGAUUUGAUCUUAGAUUUUGUGUCAUAGUAAUUUAUUUGUCCCUCUCUUCAGCUUUCAAGUAUAGAAGUUUGCUAGAAUUGCUACUGUAAUUUUAAUACCAAGUACUGUUUGAUGUUUGUCACUUGUACUAUAUUCUAUAUUCUAUAUUCAGAGAAAUUUUAGUA